GACGUAGGGGGCCAGCGUUGUUCGGAAUUACUGGGUGUAAAGGGUUCGUAGGCGGUGCGGCAAGUUGGGAGUGAAAUCUCUGGGCUUAACCCAGAGGCUGCUUCCAAAACUGCUGUGCUUGAGUGUGGGAGAGGCGCGUGGAAUUGCAGGUGUAGCGGUGAAAUGCGUAGAUAUCUGCAGGAACACCCGUGGCGAAGGCGGCCCCCUGGGCCGAACCUGACGCUGAGGCGCGAAGGCUAGGGGAGCGAACGGGG
rnacentral:rRNA from 1 species